GCCAGGCGCGGUGGAGUCCAGCUACCCAGGAGACUGAGGUGGGGCUCAACUCAGGGGCUUGAGCCCAGGAGUUCUGGGCUAUAGUGCGCUAUGCCAAUCAGGUGUCCACACUAAGUUCGGCAUCAGUAUGGUGACCUCCUAGGAGUGGGAGACCAACCCAGGUUGGAAAUGGAGCAGGUGAAAACUCCUAUAUGGAUCAGUACCUGUGAAUAGCCACUGAACUCUUGUGGGAUCGCACCUGUGAAUAGUCACUGCUCUCCAGCCUGGGCAAUAUAGCGAGACCCAGUCUCUU
ensembl:misc_RNA Metazoa_SRP Metazoan signal recognition particle RNA